UCCGAGUUGACCCCGGCAGUCUCCUAUGAGUCCCCGACAUUACUCGCUGGCAACAUAGGACGAGGGUUGCGCUCGUUGCGGGACUUAACCCAACAUCUCACGACACGAGCUGACGACAGCCAUGCACCACCUAUCGCCGGCCCUUGCGGACACCGCAUCUCUGCGGCUUUUCCGGCGUAGUUCAACCCAGGUAAGGUUCUUCGCGUUGCAUCGAAUUAAGCAACAUGCUCCGCCGCUUGUGCGGGCCCCCGUCAAUUCCUUUGAGUUUCAGCCUUGCGGCCGUACUCCCCAGGCGGGAGACUUAACGCGUUAGCUCCGACACCGAAGGGCUCGAUCCCCCCGGCAUCUAGUCUCCAUCGUUUACGGCGUGGACUAC
rnacentral:misc_RNA from 1 species